CAGGAUGAACGCUGGCGGCGUGCCUAAUACAUGCAAGUCGAGCGAAUGGAUUAAGAGCUUGCUCUUAUGAAGUUAGCGGCGGACGGGUGAGUAACACGUGGGUAACCUGCCCAUAAGACUGGGAUAACUCCGGGAARCSGGGGCUAAUACCGGAUAACAUUUUGAACCGCAUGGUUCGAAAUUGAAAGGCGGCUUCGGCUGUCACUUAUGGAUGGACCCGCGUCKCAUUAGCUAGUUGGUGAGGURACGGCUYACCAMGGCRACKAUGCGUWCCGACYUGAGAKGGURACRGCCACACUGGRACUGAGACACGGCCCAGACUCCUACGGGAGGCAGCAGUAGGGAAUCUUCCGCAAUGGACGAAAGUCUGACGGAGCAACGCCGCGUGAGUGAUGAAGGCUUUCGGGUCGUAAAACUCUGUUGUUAGGGAAGAACAAGUGCUAGUUGAAUAAGCUGGCACCUUGACGGUACCUAACCAGAAAGCCACGGMUAACUACGUGCCAGCAGCCGCGGUAAUACGUAGGUGGCAAGCGUUAUCCGGAAUUAUUGGGCGUAAAGCGCGCGCAGGUGGUUUYUUAAGUCUGAUGUGAAAGCCCACGGCUCAACCGUGGAGGGUCAUUGGAAACUGGGAGACUUGAGUGCAGAAGAGGAAAGUGGAAUUCCAUGUGUAGCGGUGAAAUGCGUAGAGAUAUGGAGGAACACCAGUGGCGAAGGCGACUUUCUGGUCUGUAACUGACACUGAGGCGCGAAAGCGUGGGGAGCAAACAGGAUUAGAUACCCUGGUAGUCCACGCCGUAAACGAUGAGUGCUAAGUGUUAGAGGGUUUCCGCCCUUUAGUGCUGAAGUUAACGCAUUAAGCACUCCGCCUGGGGAGUACGGCCGCAAGGCUGAAACUCAAAGGAAUUGACGGGGGCCCGCACAAGCGGUGGAGCAUGUGGUUUAAUUYGAAGCAACGCGAAGAACCUUACCAGGUCUUGACAUCCUYUGACAACCCUAGAGAUAGGGCUUCUCCUUCGGGAGCAGAGUGACAGGUGGUGCAUGGUUGUCGUCAGCUCGUGUCGUGAGAUGUUGGGUUAAGUCCCGCAACGAGCGCAACCCUUGAUCUUAGUUGCCAUCAUUAAGUUGGGCACUCUAAGGUGACUGCCGGUG
rnacentral:rRNA from 1 species